AAUAUUGGACAAUGGGGGCAACCCUGAUCCAGUCAUGCCGCGUGUGUGAAGAAGGUCUUCGGCUUGUAAAGCACUUUAAGUUGGGGGGAAGGGCUUUAGGUUAAUACACUGAAGUUUUGACGUUACCAACAGAAUAAGCAACGGCUAACUAUGUGCCAGCAGCCGCGGUAAUACAGAGGGUGCAAGCGUUAAUCGGAACUACUGGGCGUAAAGCGCGCGUAGGUGGGUCAGUAAGAUGGGUGUGAAAUCCCCGGGCUUAACCUGGGAACUGCUUUCAUAACUGCUGGGCUAGAGUACGGUAGAGGGUAGUGGAAUUUCCUGUGUAGCGGUGAAAUGCGUAGAUAUAGGAAGGAACACCAGUGGCGAAGGCGACUACCUGGACUGAUACUGACACUGAGGUGCGAAAGCGUGGGGAGCAAACAG
rnacentral:rRNA from 1 species